GAUGAACGCUGACAGAAUGCUUAACACAUGCAAGUCAACUUGAACUUCGGUUUGGGUGGCGGACGGGUGAGUAACGCGUAAAGAACUUGCCUCACAGAUAGGGACAACAUUUGGAAACGAAUGCUAAUACCUGAUAUUAUGAUUUUAGGGCAUCCUAGGUUUAUGAUAGCUAUAUGCGCUGUGAGAGAGCUUUUCGUCCCAUUAGCUAGUUGGAGAGGUAACGGCUCACCAAGGCGAUGAUGGGUAGCCGGCCUGAGAGGGUGAUCGGCCACAAGGGGACUGGGACACGGCCCUUACUCCUACGGGAGGAAGCAGUGGGAAAUAUUGGACAAUGGACCAAGAGUCUGAUACAGCAAUUCUGUGUGCAAGAUGAAGUUUUUCGGAAUGUAAAGUGCUUUCAGUUGGGAAGAAAAAAAUGACGGUACCAACAGAAGAAGUGACGGCUAAAUACGUG
rnacentral:rRNA from 1 species